CUUCGCCGUCUAUUGUAUCUACCCUUGCGCGGAUACCAAUUAUUUGGUAUAUCGCAGCCAAAAUCAGAUCACUAAUUUUCAACAAGUUACAGACAACUCUCCCUUGUGCAUUCAACACUCCCAUUAUAUAAUCAUUGAUGACAUCAUGUGGGUGGCACUAUGGGAGCUGACCUUCCCAUUGGUUAUCUGGGAAGUCUAAAUCGGAUUGGCCCUUGGAAAUUUCAUUUUUAACAGCCAGAAAGAACCUUCUGGCUGUAGUUCUCGCAACAUAAAACCAGGUGGCAGCAUACAGUACAACAUAGCAAUACAAUACAGCAUUUCUGACAUUUUUAAGCAAGUUAAUUUUUUUUUUUCAUAAAAUGGUUAUUUAAUCAGAUUACACUCUCUGCAUUAAUCAUAUAUAACCCCAAUUACAGAUGGUUAAUAUUAGGUUAUUUUUUUUUUUAUUAUUAUUCUGAUACCAAAUAUGUUAUAUUAUUAACAUUUUAUUAUAUCAAGGCAAUUUAAUACUGCUAAUUAGUAGCUUAAAAUGCAUUACAAUUUUAUCGGUAUCCUGGCAUUUAUAUGUGAAUAAUAGCUUAUUUUUAAUUCAGUAUUGUACUGUAUUCCAAGUGAAUCCUGUCUAUGUAGAUCUGAAAUAAGAAAAUAAAUGUUAAUAAUCACUUCU